AAAACGGCCCUUUUCAGGGCCACCAAAAUUUUUCUGUUAAAUCAAUU
rfam:Asian citrus Psyllid, Diaphorina citri - Florida Strain, whole genome shotgun sequence.